GAACCGUGCGAACGUUGUUCGGAAUCACUGGGCUUAAAGGGCGCGUAGGCGGCGAGCCAAGUCGGAGGUGAAAGUUCCCGGCUCAACCGGGAAAGUGCCCCCGAUACUGGUUCGCUCGAGGGAGGUAGGGGCACGCGGAACUUCCGGUGGAGCGGUGAAAUGCGUAGAUAUCGGAAGGAACGCCGGUGGCGAAAGCGGCGUGCUGGGCCUCUUCUGACGCUGAGGCGCGAAAGCCAGGGGAGCAAACGGGAUUGGAUACCCCGGUAGUCCUGGGCCCUAAACGAUGGGUACUAGGUAGCGGAUCAGGCAUGGGUUUUGCUGCCCGAAGCAAAAGUGUUAAGUACCCCCCCCCGCCUGGGGAGUAUGGUCGCAAGGCUG
rnacentral:rRNA from 1 species